UACAGCGGUCUCAAGCGUUGUUCGGAUUCAUUGGGCGUAAAGGGCGUGUAGGUGGCUCGCUAAGUCGGGUGUGAAAUUUCGGAGCUUAACUCCGAAACUGCAUUCGAUACUGGCGUGCUUGAGGACUGGAGAGGAGACUGGAAUUCAUGGUGUAGCAGUGAAAUGCGUAGAGAUCAUGAGGAAGACCAGUGGCGAAGGCGGGUCUCUGGACAGUUACUGACACUGAGACACGAAGGCCAGGGGAGCAAACGGG
rnacentral:rRNA from 1 species